rnacentral:rRNA from 1 species
UACAUGUGGGGCAAGCGUUGUUCGGAAUUACUGGGCAUAAAGGGUGCGUAGGUGGCUUGUUAAGUCAGGGUGAAAGUUUUCGGCCCAACCGGAAAUGGCCUUUGAUACUGGCGAGCUCGAGUGCGUGAGGGGUAACCGGAACGAGCAGUGUAGCGGUGAAAUGCGUAGAUAUUGCUCGGAAGGCCAACGGCGAAGGCAGGUUACUGGUGCGCAACUGACACUGAGGCACGAAAGCGUGGGAGCAAACAGG